rnacentral:rRNA from 1 species
AUUGAACGCUGGCGGCAUGCCUUACACAUGCAAGUCGAACGGCAGCACGGGUGCUUGCACCUGGUGGCGAGUGGCGAACGGGUGAGUAAUACAUCGGAACAUGUCCUGUAGUGGGGGAUAGCCCGGCGAAAGCCGGAUUAAUACCGCAUACGAUCUACGGAUGAAAGCGGGGGACCUUCGGGCCUCGCGCUAUAGGGUUGGCCGAUGGCUGAUUAGCUAGUUGGUGGGGUAAAGGCCUACCAAGGCGACGAUCAGUAGCUGGUCUGAGAGGACGACCAGCCACACUGGGACUGAGACACGGCCCAGACUCCUACGGGAGGCAGCAGUGGGGAAUUUUGGACAAUGGGCGAAAGCCUGAUCCAGCAAUGACGCGUGUGUGAAGAAGGCCUUCGGGUUGUAAAGCACUUUUGUCCGGAAAGAAAUCCUUGGCCCUAAUACGGUCGGGGGAUGACGGUACCGGAAGAAUAAGCACCGGCUAACUACGUG